AGCUGCCGUGCGAGGAGUUACAGUGGUGUGCGAGAUCUCAGUUAAUGCAGCAGUACGGGCCUAGCUGACUGGCGUGCAAUCUGACUUUUCGGGCAGACAGUUUUUUCCCAGCUACACCUACGAAUAACCAACUACGACAAAGAUUCACAGAUCACCUGAUAAACAACAUUUUCAGAAAGAGACCACCUUCAGAACUGAAAGAUUCCAACGAGUUAGCCUUUCAACUAUACCAAAAAUAUUAAAAUAAACC